CCCCCCUUCUAUCUGUCAGAGUGCCUUGAGAGACCACUAGUUGGCUCUGCCAGUCCAUAAGCAAGUGAAGUCAGUGGGUGUCAAUCACCAAUCUUAUGUAUUGUGUCUCUUCUCUCUGACAGGCUUUAUCUCUGUCUAUUUGUGAAAUACAGAAGCUAUCAGAUCGAAGUCAAGAUCACACAGCAACCUCUGGUAUUAGUUCAUAUUGAUUAAUAGUUAA
rnacentral:lncRNA from 1 species